GAUCCUGGCUCAGAAUCAACGCUGGCGGCGUGCCUAACACAUGCAAGUCGAACGAGAAAGUCCGCAAGGAUGAGUAAAGUGGCGUCCGGGUGAGUAACACGUAGCUAACUUACCCUCGAGCGGGGGAUAACCUGGGGAAACCCGGGCUAAUACCGCAUAAGACCCUGGCGGCAUAUGUCGCAGGGGCCAAAGGCCCGCAAGGGCCACUUGAGGAGGGGGCUGCGGCCGAUUAGCUAGUUGGUGAGGUAACGGCCCACCAAGGCUAUGAUCGGUAGCCGGCCUGAGAGGGCGCACGGCCACACUGGCACUGAAACACGGGCCAGACUCCUACGGGAGGCA
rnacentral:rRNA from 1 species